rnacentral:lncRNA from 1 species
AACAAUCAAAUUAAUCAUGCUGAUAAUAGAGAAAAUCAAAUAAAUUAUAAAAUGCUCAUAUUUUCGUGUCAUGCUUCGCGAAGUCAUUCUAACCUCCAUCUACUGAGGGUAAAUACGGAUUUCCAACUACCUAUGUGAAAUACUAGAUCAGAUACAUAACGGCAAUUCACUCAUUUCAUAUUUCUGGCUUGCUAAACCAUGACACGAUCGAUGAUCAUGGCCGUGUCAACC